rnacentral:lncRNA from 1 species
UUGCUUUUAAUGUUAAAAAUAGGAAUUGUUGUUUAACUUACCACCGUGCAUUUGUAUGUACUCACAAAAGAUAAUGAGACUGAAAGUAAAUAACUUAAAGACAGGCCUUUUACCAAUUAUGGAGACAAAAGAGAGCACCACAAGCCAUGCCCAAUAUUCUUACUAACAUAGAAACCCUGAUUAUUAAUUUAUUCCAGAAUUACAACACCAAUGCACACCAAAACACACCAAAUUAAUUUAUCACGCAGGAGGACAACAUUCAGGGACUUCAGGGCAGGGACAAAACUGAUCCACGUUGAAGUUCUGGCCAGCCCUGCCAGUGGCAGCCCUGCCUUGUGUGGUGGCCACAGCUGGUGAUGACAUGGCUGUGAACAUGAUCACUACUAGCAGAAGUACCACAUUGAGCACAAGUUGAAGAAACUUUGCCAUUCUCUCUCUAAAAUCACAAGGCCAGAGGAUGAGGAAAUAGAUUGUAGUGCCGUGAGAGAUGGGGUGAAGGGGCUGUGCCGCCUCUCUAUUCAUAUAUGGGUGAGACACUGUUAACAAAUUUA